CCUAUGGGCGGCAGCAGUGGGGAAUAUUGGACAAUGGGGGGAACCCUGAUCCAGCCAUGCCGCGUGUGUGAAGAAGGCCCUCGGGUUGUAAAGCACUUUCAGUGAGGAAGAACGCCUGGUGGUUAAUACCCAUCAGGAAAGACAUCACUCACAGAAGAAGCACCGGCUAACUCCGUGCCAGCAGCCGCGGUAAUACGGAGGGUGCGAGCGUUAAUCGGAAUUACUGGGCGUAAAGCGCGCGUAGGUGGCUUGAUAAGCCGGUUGUGAAAGCCCCGGGCUCAACCUGGGAACGGCAUCCGGAACUGUCAAGCUAGAGUGCAGGAGAGGAAGGUAGAAUUCCCGGUGUAGCGGUGAAAUGCGUAGAGAUCGGGAGGAAUACCAGUGGCGAAGGCGGCCUUCUGGACUGACACUGACACUGAGGUGCGAAAGCGUGGGUAGCAAACAGGAUUAGAUACCCCGGUAGUC
rnacentral:rRNA from 1 species